AACCAUAGAAACCUGCGGAGUACCUGCGGAGGGAUCAUUAUCGAGUUGCAAAACUCCAACCCUUUGUGAACAUACCUCAGUCGUUGCUUCGGCGGUGGACGGCCUUUUUUCGAAAAGGCCCGAAGCCGCCGGAGGUUCCAAACUCGUGUUUUGUUUAGUGUAUCUCUGAGCCUGAAAACAAAUAAUCAAAACUUUUAGCAAUGGAUCU
rnacentral:misc_RNA from 1 species